AACGAACGCUGGCGGCAUGCCUAACACAUGCAAGUCGAACGAGACCUUCGGGUCUAGUGGCGCACGGGUGCGUAACGCGUGGGAACCUGCCCUUAGGUUCGGAAUAACUCCCCGAAAGGGGUGCUAAUACCGGAUAAUGUCUUCGGACCAAAGAUUUAUCGCCUUUGGAUGGGCCCGCGUUGGAUUAGCUAGUUGGUAGGGUAAAAGCCUACCAAGGCGACGAUCCAUAGCUGGUCUGAGAGGAUGAUCAGCCACACUGGGACUGAGACACGGCCCAGACUCCUACGGGAGGCAGCAGUGGGGAAUAUUGGACAAUGGGCGAAAGCAUGAUCCAGCAAUGACGCGUGAGUGAUGAAGGCCUUAGGGUUGUAAAGCUCUUUUACCCGGGAUGAUAAUGACAGUACCGGGAGAAUAAGCUCCGGCUAACUCCGUG
rnacentral:rRNA from 1 species